rnacentral:rRNA from 2 species
GGCCGACACCUGCGGCGUGCCUAAUACAUGCAAGUCGAACGAACUCUGGUAUUGAUUGGUGCUUGCAUCAUGAUUUACAUUUGAGUGAGUGGCGAACUGGUGAGUAACACGUGGGAAACCUGCCCAGAAGCGGGGGAUAACACCUGGAAACAGAUGCUAAUACCGCAUAACAACUUGGACCGCAUGGUCCGAGUUUGAAAGAUGGCUUCGGCUAUCACUUUUGGAUGGUCCCGCGGCGUAUUAGCUAGAUGGUGGGGUAACGGCUCACCAUGGCAAUGAUACGUAGCCGACCUGAGAGGGUAAUCGGCCACAUUGGGACUGAGACACGGCCCAAACUCCUACGGGAGGCAGCAGUAGGGAAUCUUCCACAAUGGACGAAAGUCUGAUGGAGCAACGCCGCGUGAGUGAAGAAGGGUUUCGGCUCGUAAAACUCUGUUGUUAAAGAAGAACAUAUCUGAGAGUAACUGUUCAGGUAUUGACGGUAUUUAACCAGAAAGCCACGGCUAACUACGUGCCAGCAGCCGCGGUAAUACGUAGGUUGUGCAAGCGUUGUCCGGAUUUAUUGGGCGUAAAGCGAGCGCAGGCGGUUUUUUAAGUCUGAUGUGAAAGCCUUCGGCUCAACCGAAGAAGUGCAUCGGAAACUGGGAAACUUGAGUGCAGAAGAGGACAGUGGAACUCCAUGUGUAGCGGUGAAAUGCGUAGAUAUAUGGAAGAACACCAGUGGCGAAGGCGGCUGUCUGGUCUGUAACUGACGCUGAGGCUCGAAAGUAUGGGUAGCAAACAGGAUUAGAUACCCUGGUAGUCCAUACCGUAAACGAUGAAUGCUAAGUGUUGGAGGGUUUCCGCCCUUCAGUGCUGCAGCUAACGCAUUAAGCAUUCCGCCUGGGGAGUACGGCCGCAAGGCUGAAACUCAAAGGAAUUGACGGGGGCCCGCACAAGCGGUGGAGCAUGUGGUUUAAUUCGAAGCUACGCGAAGAACCUUACCAGGUCUUGACAUACUAUGCAAAUCUAAGAGAUUAGACGUUCCCUUCGGGGACAUGGAUACAGGUGGUGCAUGGUUGUCGUCAGCUCGUGUCGUGAGAUGUUGGGUUAAGUCCCGCAACGAGCGCAACCCUUAUUAUCAGUUGCCAGCAUUAAGUUGGGCACUCUGGUGAGACUGCCGGUGACAAACCGGAGGAAGGUGGGGAUGACGUCAAAUCAUCAUGCCCCUUAUGACCUGGGCUACACACGUGCUACAAUGGAUGGUACAACGAGUUGCGAACUCGCGAGAGUAAGCUAAUCUCUUAAAGCCAUUCUCAGUUCGGAUUGUAGGCUGCAACUCGCCUACAUGAAGUCGGAAUCGCUAGUAAUCGCGGAUCAGCAUGCCGCGGUGAAUACGUUCCCGGGCCCUUGUACACACCGCCCGUCACACCAUGAGAGUUUUGUAACACCCAAAGUCGGUGGGGUAACCUUUUAGGAACCAGCCGCCUAAAGUGGGACAGAUGAUUAGGGGUGAAGUCGUAACAACGUAACCCGU